GCUCAGAACGAACGCUGGCGGCGUGCCUAAAGAUGCAAGUCGAACGAGAAAGUCCCGCAAGGGAUGAGUAAAGUGGCGCACGGGUGAGUAACACGUAGGUAACCUGCCUCUAAGACCGGGAUAACCUGUCGAAAGACGGGCUAAUACCAUAUAAGACCACAGUUCCUUCGGGAAUAGGGGUCAAAGGUGGCCUCUGCUUGCCAGCUAUAACUUAAAGAUGGGCCUGCGCACCAUUAGCUAUUUGGUAGGGUAAUGGCCUACCAAGGCAAAGAUGGUUAGCUGGUCUGAGAGGAUGAUCAGCCACACUGGGACUGAAACACGGCCCAGACUCCUACGGGAGGCAGCAGUGGGGAAUAUUGGGCAAUGGGCGAAAGCUUGACCCAGCAACGCCGCGUGGGUGAUGAAGGCCUUCGGGUGGUAAAGCCCUGUCGGUAGGAAAGAAUUCUUUUGGGGCGAAUAACCCCAGGAAAUGACGGUACCUUCAAAGGAAGCACCGGCUAAUUCCGUGCCAGCAGCCGCGGUAAUACGGAGGGUGCAAGCGUUGUUCGGAAUCAUUGGGCGUAAAGGGCGUGUAGGCGGCCCGUUAAGUCAUGUGUGAAAGCCCUCGGCUUAACCGAGGAAUGGCGCAUGAAACUGACAGGCUAGAGUACUGAAGAGGGGGGUGGAAUUCCCGGUGUAGCGGUGAAAUGUGUAGAUAUCGGGAGGAACACCAGUGGCGAUGGCGGCCCCCUGGUCGGAUACUUACGCUAAUACGCGAAAGCGUGGGGAGCAAACAGGAUUAGAUACCCUGGUAGUCCACGCAGUAAACGAUGGGCAAUAGGUGUCCGGGGUAUUGACCCCCCGGGUGCCGCAGCUAACGCAUUAAGUGCCCCGCUUGGGGAGUAC
rnacentral:rRNA from 1 species